CCUAAGAAGAUUUGCAGAAAUCUUUUUAGAAAAAAAAUAAAAAUCUCAGCAAUGGCAAAUCUUCAAAUUUAUAUAAUAUUUGUUGUCCUUAUCUCAGCACAAAAUAUCUUUGGUAAACCGGCAGACAUCUUAUCAAACGAGAUAGAGACUUCAGGUGAAUCGAAAAGAAAAUCUGAUGCCUUGGAUGAAGUUAAAUUAUUUGCCAUAGCAAAUUUAGUGCCCUAUCAACACGCCGAAAAUGCUGCCAAUGCCAGUCGAUAUAUGCUCAAAGACAAAGCUUUAAAGGCCAACAAUGAGCCAGAAGUUUUAGAGUUCAAAAACAAUCUAAACCUGCUAUUGGACAAAUAUAAAAGCUCUACAACUAAUAAAAAAUUGCUUUAUGAAACACUGGAUAUUUUUGCAAAUAUUACCAAUCAUUAUUUGCAUCUUCCUGAGGACAAAGUUACUGGGGAAUCUAAAUUAAUCAUUGAUGUGCUAAACAAAUACAAUUGUGGCAAGUUUGCCAUGAGUGUUAAUUCUCAUUAUGAGCUAUUUUUUGAGCAGUUUAUCCAACUGUUUGAAGACAACAAACAAGAUUUUGAAAAACCCCUAUUGGAUUGGUAUGACAGAUUUAUAAAUUCAAAUAAUUUAGCGCAGAAAAUUGCCUAUAUGGUUGAUUUUAUAUUAUUGUUUUGAGAAAAGUAAAAGAUAUAGGAAAACAAUAUUCAAAUAAAGCAAAUAGAAUAAUUGA